GUACAUCGUAACCCCCUGGAGGGAAACGGUCGUACGUUUCCAGGUGCAUUUAUUAGCAUUUAGGGCGUACGUUACCUGUAACGUACACAUUCAAUCCCCACUACUCCACCCCUGUACCGGAACCGUUGUGGAGGGCAGCGCACUCUAUAUAAGCCACCCUCCCCCACUGGUAGAGGAGUUAGCAACUCAUUGUAUUCCAUAUUUCCACUCGACAACAAGCUCCCUGAGCACUGA
rnacentral:lncRNA from 1 species